rnacentral:rRNA from 1 species
GAUGAACGCUAGAGGCAGGCUUAAUACGUGCAAGUCGAGGGGCAGCAUGAGUGUAGCAAUACAUUUGAUGGCGACCGGCAAACGGGUGCGGGACACGUACACAACCUUCCUAUAAGUGGGGAAUAGCCCAGAGAAAUUUGGAUUAAUACCCCGUAACAUAAUGAUGUGGCAUCACAUUAUUAUUAUAGCUUCGGCGCUUAUUGAUGGGUGUGCGGCUGAUUAGAUAGUUGGCGGGGUAACGGCCCACCAAGUCUACGAUCAGUAGCUGAUGUGAGGGCAUAGUCAGCCACACGGGCACUGAGAAACGGGCCCGACUCCUACGGGAGGCAGAAGUAAGGAAUAUUAGUCAAUGGACGCAAGUCUGAACCUGCCAUGCCGCGUGAAGGAUUAAGGUCCUCUGGAUUGUAAACUUCUUUAAUCUGGGACGAAAAAAGGCGAUUCUUCGUCACUUGACGGUACCAGAUGAGUAAGCACCGGCUAACUCCGUGCCAGCCGCCGCCGUAAGAC